CUUAAGGUGGAAGAGAUAAGUUUGCAUGCAAUGGAGUUUCAACAAUUCAUCAACUUUUAAAAGAGCAUAAUACAAACUCUAAGACUCCUGUAAUCAAGUUGAAACUCGACUUCUCUCAUUUAAUUUUGAGAGUUAAUCCUUAAUAUCCAUGGAGUUUAAAGCAAAAAUUUUAAAAAUUAAGCAAAAAGCAACUAAAUUACCAAAAUAACUUAGCA
rnacentral:lncRNA from 1 species